rnacentral:misc_RNA from 1 species
AGACUGAUAAGGGAUCCCACUGCCUCGGGGAGCACAGAUAGCAUGUUAGAGCUAAGAUCAACUUCCUCGAGAUGAGUUAACCUCGCUAAAGUCAAAGGCAAUGUCUUCAGGUUAUUGCCAUUUAGAUCUAGAUAGACCAAGUUAAGCAGAUCUCCUAUUGAAUCAGGAAGUUCAACAAUUUUAUUUCCAUGCAAAUCUAGUUUUUGCAACGAUGAAAGACCCCCGAUGGUAGUUGGCAACACAGCAAUUCGAUUCUCAGACAAAUCCAA